AGCCCUUUUCCAGGUCCCGCCCCACCUGCUGGGUCUCAGCGGGUCGUGGGUCUCUUUGUCCCACGGAGUUGGGCGGGCGCAGCCACGGCUACUUUGCAGUGGGUUCGGGCCAUGCCCAGCCUGCGGCGGCAACAGCGGGUCUCGGACCGACCGUGAGCCUGGGGAGUUUGUCUCCAACGCCUGCGGGUGCAGCGGCCUGAGUUCUAAGAGCAGGUGAAAAAAAGCAUGGUCCUCACCGACAGGCCUUGCCAUCCCUUUCUUCCAGGAGAUGAGUAUACAUCAACAUUUUUAGAAGAAAACGUACAUUGUCACCCUGCUGGGAGAGGCCUUAGGAAGUACUGCUAACCAUCUACCCUGUCAUCAGAAUAAAAGUCCUCCUGGAUUCACAUGAGAUACCAAGCUAGAUCCAUAUCCUCACCCACCCCAGGACAAUUAGAAGGCCAUCCCUAUGCGUGACCUCAAAUUGAGGAUUUCAAGAGCUUACUCAGGCUCCAGAAGCAGACGACACCACGAAGUAGACAGCUUUACCCAAGAGCUCCGAUCAAGAAUUUUGUCUCCAUUUCUCUUCCCUUGCAAACCUCUGCCUGACCUGCAGAAUUUUCUGACAUAGAAAUUUAAACAAAACCCUUCCUCUUUCAGUUACAGAAGGACUGACUGGAGGUUGCUUGUCUAAACCUAUCCUCCCUCUGUUCCCCCACUACGGGCUCCCUUUCAGACUAUGUCUUGCUUCAGCGAAUUCUUACUGCUUUUUCAACAGUUUUAGCAUGGCCACAACACCCACUCACACCAAUCUUUCAGACCCUGGCCACCUUAACUAAUCAGUCUAAUUGCUGGUUAUGUCAGCGUCUAAGUAACGCACCAGAACCUGAACUAGGUUUUGUCCCUGCCAGUGCAAGCACCUGGUGGACCCAUUCUGGACAGUGGAUGUAUGGAAGGCACUCUGCUUCCUCCUACGGCAGAGUGACUUGGCAUUGGGGAACCCCCAUGGAGGCUCGAGGUCCGUCCUUCACUCAGGGAGAAAGCUGUGGACCGUUUAAUGUGGGAUGAUCUGCUGUACUCUCCUGAUUUCCCGUGAGCAUUUAAUCUACGGUCUAAAGGGUCGUUUGUCUGGUAUGAGUUGUAGCUGUCUUAGGAUUAUGGGCAGCAGCAGCGAGGGGGGCUGUAGGGAACAAGUGGAGGUAGCAUUUAUCGUAUUGCACGUGUCACUCCGUUGCUCCUGUCCUUACAUUAUUCCGUUUAAUUCUCACACGGUGUUCUUCCCGUUUUACAGAUGAAUAAAUUGGAAGGGUAGAUAACUUGCUAAAGAUUAUACCAUUACUGGGACUUCCUGGUGGUCCAGUGGUUAAGACUCCACGCUCCCAAUGCAGGGGGCAUGGGUUCAAUCCCUGGUUGGGGAACUAAGAUCCCACGUGCCGUGCAGCGCAGCCAAAAAAAAAAACAAAGACUAUAUCAUUACUGAAAAUAAGAGCAAGAUGCAGAACUGGUAUCUAGUGUGCAGCCUUUCAUAGAGCAGAGGAAAGAAGAAAAAAUACACAGUCAUUCCUUGGAGACGUUGCGGGUUUGGUUCCAGACCACUGCAAUAAAGGGAGUCGCACAAAUUUUUUGGUUUCCCUGUGCAAAUAAAAGUUAUGUUUACACUAUACUGUAGUUUAUUAAGUAUGCCGUAGCAACAUGUCUAAAAAACAAUGCACAUCCCUUUAUUAAAAAUAGUUUCUUGCGGGCUUCCCUGGUGGCGCAGUGGUUGGGAGUCCGCCUGCCAAUGCAGGGGACCACGGGUUCGUGCCCCUGUGCGGGAAGAUCCCACAUGGCGCCGAGCGGCUGGGCCCGUGAGCCAUGGCCGCUGAGCCUGUGCGUCUGGAGCCUGUGCUCCGCAACUGGAGAGGCCACAACAGUGAGAGGCCCGCGUACUGAAAAAAAAAAAUGUUUCUUGCUUGAAAAUGCUAACCAUCACCUGAGACUUCAUCAAGUCAAUCUUUUUUGCAAUAGUGACUUCACAGAUCACCAUAAGAAAUAUAAUAAUAAUAAUGAAAAAGUUUGAAAUAUUGCGAGAGUUGCCAAAAUGUGACACAGAUGCAAAGUGAGCAAAUGCUGUUGGAAAAAUGGAACCAACAGACUUGCUCCACACAGGGUCGCCACAAACCAUCAAUUUGUAAAAUAUGCAGUAUCUGCAAAGUGCAAUAAAGUGAAGCAAUAAAACGAGGUAUGCCUGUAUGUAUACUUACAUAUACUUACUCAGCUUUGCAAAAAGACAGCUGAAAGUUGAAUAUAAGCGAACUAAUGAACAUUAUAGCAAAUUGACAACUUCACAUAGAGAAAAUUAUUUCAAAAGUUAUUUCAAGCUAUGCCAAAAAAUGAACAGUAUUCUGGGUACAUCCUUAGAAGUGGGUUUAUUGUUCAUAGUGAUAUUGGUUAUCAAAAGAAGAUAAAAUAUGAAAACUGUUCCAGUGGUACAGGGCAUAGUAAGGGGGGCUCCUGAGCAGAGUCCUCUGUCUGUUCCUUUCCUGUGUGUGUAAGCAAACAGUAGUUAAACUCUUGCACUGAAACUAGAGAAACCAUUAAAAGAUGAGCAUUCAGCUUUCAUUAUUGGGUAUUUUGUGGUACCUGGAUGGAUGAGGGUCAUGGGAUGUUUAGAAUUAGAGUGGCAGGAGUGUUCUAAGCAAUUGGGGGAAGUGAUAGGAAAAGAAAUCUAGAUUCUUGACACAAUCUCAAUUUUCUUCUGUAAAAUGGAGGAAAAACAGUGAAGGUUAGGUAGGCCACCACUGCUUUCUCCGUGGCCUUUUUGACAAAAACUGAUAUAAAGUUUCUUGUUAUCGAAUUUCCUUUCAGGAGAAGAUUGAUAG